UACGAAGGGUGCAAGCGUUAGUCGGAAUUACUGGGCGUAAAGCGUGCGUAGGCGGUUUGUUAAGUCGGAUGUGAAAGCCCCGGGCUCAACCUGGGAAUGGCACUCGAUACUGGCAAGCUGGAGUACGGUAGAGGAUGGUGGAAUUCCCGGUGUAGCGGUGAAAUGCGUAGAGAUCGGGAGGAACACCCGUAGCGAAGGCGGCACUCUGGGCCGGUACUGACGCUGAGGAGCGAAAGCGUGGGGAGCAAACAGG
rnacentral:rRNA from 1 species